UGGUGUUUGUGGAGAGGUAUUCCUUCAGAAAUGGAGAAGACAGAAAGCUGCAGAGGCAGGAUUGUUUGCAGACAAUGCUGUUCUUCUUUUUCAGAAGUUUUUGGUGGGCCAACCCUCACAACCUUACUAAAAACUAAAAGAGCUAUUACUGAGUCUCAACGAAUCUUGCCACUAUCAGCUCUUCCCAGAAGAGAAGGAAGACCAAGGAAAUGAUUUGCUCAGGAUGAGAAAUGAA